CCAACACCAACGGGAAUAAAGCGUGACCGAAUACGUUAUCCUCUGCUUCUUCCCUUCCACUCUCCGCUCUUUCCCCUUCUCUCCCCUCUCCGUCAAACCCUACUUUUUUGCAAGCAGAUCUCUCGUCUUAAUGACACUGACAUCCUCGUCUUAAUUCCUCGAUCGAUUAAUCUCGAUUGCGAAAUCCUUGCGUGAUCGAAUUGCCGGAAUCCUUGUUAUCAUCUUCUUCUUUCGUUACGGUGAGUCGAUGAUGUCUUCGUGAUAUUGAGUGUGGGGCUUCGCUGUUCUUGUUGGACCCUCUUUUUCUUUGGACAGGGUUUGAGUCGGGAGCGUUGCGGUCGCUCCUGUUUCUGAUCUCCGUCGGAUGGAGCCUCGCGUGGGGGACAAGUUCCGCCUUGGUCGCAAGAUCGGGAGCGGUUCCUUUGGAGAGAUCUAUUUAGGAAUUAAUAUCCAAACAAACGAAGAGGUUGCCAUAAAGCUCGCUUUCUACUGUUCCAUCAUACAAGACAAAGAUGUGCAUCUAUUACGGAAAGAAGAAAUCUUGGAAUACUGUCAAGAAAAUGCCACAUGAGUCAUCUGGUUUUAGUUAUCUGAUGCAAGCUCAUUUCAGGCCACGUCACAAUCGAGGUCAUGCCACGCUACAGUCAAGUCAGUAAGGGGAGCACCCUCACACACUGAGCCAAAGAUCAUACUAAGACGCUGCUCGGUAUGUCCCGACCCGGUAAGCCCGGGACGGCGGCCGCAUAAGUGUACCGUCUCAUCUCUCGAGGAUCGAUCGUCAUGCCAAAUCCGCGUACGAUCAACCCUCGUACAAUAGUAUAAAAGCUCAUGGCAGCAUCUGGCCCAAGGGGAAAAAAGGAAAAAAGAGAACUUCACACUGAUUGAUUGAUUGAUGGGUCAUAGUCGGUAAUCACCCAACGGGUCCUUCUGUGCAAGAGAGCAAUCAUCCCCAAAGUAAGAUUAUUUCGAUCAAGAGAGAUUGUCUCCCCCUACGCGCCGACCAGCAUCCCGGUGGAGAACCAUCAACCAACGUCUCGAGUAAGAGUCACCAACCAGCUUUCCGACCUCGGUAACCAGCUCAGACGAUCGAAGACUCCCGACAUCGACCCGUGAAUCAAGUCAUGCUAACUCAUCAACCACAGUGCAUCAAUUCACUAACAAAUAGAUUUUCCAAGAAACAGUUUGCUUCAAAAGAGCAUGCAAUUAAUAAGCUUGCAUGAUGUUAUAUAACUAAUAUGUAACAUAUAACAUGUUAUAUAUAAGCUAGACAUGUUAUAUAUUAGUUAUCGAAAGUGAUGAAGAAGUUAAUAAAUACUCACUGGUUUUAGAU